rnacentral:rRNA from 1 species
UGGGCUUGACAUCCCACGAACCUGCUGAAAGGCAGGAGUGCCCGCAAGGGAGCGCGGAGACAGGUGGUGCAUGGCUGUCGUCAGCUCGUGUCGUGAGAUGUUGGGUUAAGUCCCGCAACGAGCGCAACCCUCACCCCUUGUUGCUACCAGGUAAAGCUGGGCACUCUAGGGGAACUGCCCCGGUCAACGGGGAGGAGGGUGGGGAUGACGUCAAGUCAUCAUGCCCCUUACGUCCUGGGCUACACACGUGCUACAAUGGCCAAUACAAAGGGCUGCAAACCCGCGAGGGCAAGCCAAUCCCAAAAAAUUGGUCUCAGUUCAGAUUGUAGGCUGCAACCCGCCUGCAUGAAGGAGGAACCGCUAGUAAUCGUGGAUCAGCAUGCCACGGUGAAUACGUUCCCGGGCCUUGUACACACCGCCCGUCACACCACGAAAGUCUGCUGUACUCGAAGUCGCUGAGAAUCUC